rnacentral:lncRNA from 1 species
UUCCGGACUGGUUUUAAUAGAGAUGAAGAACCCAGCCUCACACAAUAUCCAGAAUCAACCUGCAAAUCUAUGAAAUAAAAUGGCUUCCUGAGAUUUACAUCACACAUUUCCUGUAUCUACAGAACCCGCAGAUUUCUUCAUCUAUUAUAGGCCUGUGCUUUCAUCCUGAUAUUAACACUAAGGGGGGGAAACAUUUUAGAAAGAGACAUGUGCUGAGUGCAUUUGUUCCUAAGUCAUCUGAAGGUUGAGAAAGUCAGAUAAUAGUUUCAGUUUAAUCAGAACAAGUUUUCUCAUCUCUUCCUCAAAUAAUUUGCUGUACUUGGGUGGUUGCAGGGAUCCCAAGGACUUCAGAGUCUAGCAAAAUCUGAUCAACUCUCCAAAAAGAGUCCUUCAGAACCUCUCAGACUAACUGCAAAUAACUUUCCAUUUAUUCGAACCAGGUGACAAUAUCAAAUCACAUUAUGUUCAUGUAGGAAGUAAUUGAAAGGCAACUCCUUAGUUCUGAAAUCAGAAGUUGGUCAAAAGUCUAAUAUUUUCGAAAGAUGUAUCAUUUUGAGAAAGUGAAGAAAAUUACAUUUUUCUAUCUUUCAAAAAAAUCUAACAGUAUCUUUUUAUUGCAUUUUUAAGGUACCUUGGUUUCUGCUAUGAUAUUGAAGAACAAAUCAAGGACAUAAGGCUGAGAGAUACAAUGUGGCUGAUUUCAAACAGAAACGAUGCUCAGUACUUCAUUACCUGUUUUGUUGUUGUUCAGUUCCAGCAGUUCCAUCUCCAUGAAGAUGUCUCAAGUGUCACCCAUUCACUACAAGGAUCUAAUCUAUCACCAUCCACCAACAUCUGGCUGGCUCAUCCUUCCUUGUUCCCCAUUUAAGUAAGUGAUAACAUCAUUCCUCCAGUUGUUCAUGUCAAAAGUUAGUCUUUCUUAAAUCCUUUCUUUCUCUCACUCAUUUCCAUUUUAUUUGCAAGACUUCAUUCAAAAUACACCCUAAAUUUAUCUAUAUCUUCUAUACAAUGACUGAGUUCAAGAUUUGAUUGUGGAAGAUGCUACCAAACAUUUCUCUCUGCUCCACUUUUGUCCCCUCCCACAGUCAUCAUAGUUAUUUCUUUACAGAGGAGUAACAAUUUUCUUUUAAAAGAUACACUUGGCUUCUCAUUAGAUUCAUAAUAAUUAAUUACAAACUUCUGGUCCUAGGUUUUCGAGGGCUCACGUGACCUGGCCCUUUCCUAUCUCUAAGACCUCAUAUUUAUUUUUCUCAUCAUUUAUCCUAUUUCCACCCCAAUAGCUUUCUUGUUGUUUCUUAACAACACCAAUGUUGUUCCAGUUUCAGGGUGUUUUCACUUGUCUUCUCCCUACUAUGCGUUGCCCUCAGAUUUCCUAUUGUUCAUUCUAUCUCUUCAUUCAUAUCUCCUUUCAAAUGUUAUUUCUGGAUAUUUGCUAACUUCCUUCAUCUAAAAAUAACCUCUCCUCCAUCAUUUUCUUUCUGAUAUAAUUAUUUGAAAUUGUAUUAUAUAAUAUCAUAUAGCAAGCCAUUUUUUAAUGUUAUUAAAAUAAUAAUAUGCCUGUUUCUCAACUACAAUGCAAGCUUAGUCAAGGAUAUUUUUGUUUUUUGCUGACCUAUAUAAGUCAGUAAAUAAUAGCUGCUCUAAAUAUAUUUUUGACUGAUUAAAUGAAAUAAUUUUCCAUAUUUAGUUAUAUAUAUAUAUAUUCACAAGAUAUUUCUGCAACUACAGACUCCAGACUGGAUCACCCAGCAAUAGCAUAGCCAAAGUCAGGCUCAGAUAUGCUGCACCCAUCCCCGCUUUUGUCCUAGAGAUGAAAAAAACUGUUAAAAAACAUAUUAUUUCAGGAAAACAUGCAUCUCUCUAAGUUUUCUAUACUACUUCACAAUAAUAUCAUAUUUUACUGAAAACAAUACAAUAUUUACAAAGAUGCAUAUUUACCAGGGAAGAGAACAGUAAGUUAAAAUUGUCUAGCAUUUAUAAUAACAAAUGCCAAAUCUUAGUGAAUGUGUGUGAUUAUUCUUAGUGAAUGAGAUAGGGUUAUAGGCUUGUAUAGAUAGCAAAUAGUACUUAUGGACAUUUCUGGGAGGGCAGCUGGAUCAGAGAGUGGGGUAGGAACAAUCAGUGUGAUGGCUGUGCACACACAACCCUGGUGGGGGUUGACUGUGAGACUCUAAGUUGAUAGACACAGUUAGGAGCAAGGUUUGAGUCAAGCUUUGCUAAGCCCACUCCAUACAAGCUUGCUUGUUUCCCACUAAAGUCACUCAGUACUAUCAUCCUAGGCACCACUAAAAUAACAAUUUUAUAGUUGUGUUUUCCCUGGUUCUAAUGUGACAGUGAGUUUCACUGAAAAUAAACAGAAAUGUCACUACA